GCAAGUCGAGCGAAGCACCUUGACGGAUUUCUUCGGAUUGAAGCCUUGGUGACUGAGCGGCGGACGGGUGAGUAACGCGUGGGUAACCUGCCUCAUACAGGGGGAUAACAGUUGGAAACGGCUGCUAAUACCGCAUAAGCGCACAGUACCGCAUGGUACGGUGUGAAAAACUCCGGUGGUAUGAGAUGGACCCGCGUCUGAUUAGGUAGUUGGUGGGGUAACGGCCUACCAAGCCGACGAUCAGUAGCCGACCUGAGAGGGCGACCGGCCACAUUGGGACUGAGACACGGCCCAAACUCCUACGGGAGGCAGCAGUGGGGAAUAUUGCACAAUGGGGGAAACCCUGAUGCAGCGACGCCGCGUGAGCGAUGAAGUAUUUCGGUAUGUAAAGCUCUAUCAGCAGGGAAGAAAAUGACGGUACCUGACUAAGAAGCCCCGGCUAACUACGUGCCAGCAGCCGCGGUAAUACAUAGGGGGCAAGCGUUAUCCGGAUUUACUGGGUGUAAAGGGAGCGUAGACGGCAUGGCAAGCCAGAUGUGAAAGCCCGGGGCUCAACCCCGGGACUGCAUUUGGAACUGUCAGGCUAGAGUGUCGGAGAGGAAAGCGGAAUUCCUAGUGUAGCGGUGAAAUGCGUAGAUAUUAGGAGGAACACCAGUGGCGAAGGCGGCUUUCUG
rnacentral:rRNA from 1 species